AGCUUUGUGCAGUGGCAGUAUCAUAGCCAAUGAGGUUUAUCCGAGGCGCGAUUAUUGCUAAUUGAAACUCUAUUACAAAUCUAC
rnacentral:snRNA from 1 species